ACGUGGAAACAUCGGUUCCCGUACGAUUAUCGAAGUUAAGAAACGUCAAGCCUGGUCAGUACCUAAAUGGGUGACUGCUUGGGAAUAACAGGUACUGUU